rnacentral:tRNA from 1 species
AUCCCUGUGGCUCAGUUGGUAGAGCAUGGUGUGUGCAACGCCAGGGUUGUGGGUUCGAUUCCCACAGGGGGCC